rnacentral:lncRNA from 1 species
AUUGUCAGGGGACAGUGCUAGCUGGAAGGUACCAAGAAUGUGGGGAUUUUCUGGCAAUGUGCUAGCACCACGGAUUGUAUCCCAAUGCCUGAGACUGUUCCUAGACACUACUGAAUUUACUUGCAUAGAUGUAGCCUGAAGAUAUGCAUUGCUGGCCACAGGGUGUGACAUGAAAGUAUGUAGUGGAGACUGACAGCGUAAAGCUUACUUUAAUAGGAUUGGGAGACUGUAGAAGACGGAGGGAACCAAAUCAGUACCGGCUUGUUCAGAUUACUGAAUUGUGCUUUUGUAUUGUCUACCUCAGUACGAGAUGUAAUGAGCCAAAACUGUGCCAGCUGAUGUGUAAUCAACUAAGCAGCUAUUUUCAGAUCACGUAAUGCUUCAGUGCCAGCCUAAUUAUGCAUUUCUGUAAUGUGGGUAUCCUGUACUGUCAAGAUACUGUAUCCUGACUGCAUAUCAAGACUAGAUCUGUAAGUUCAGAACUUGUCCACAUUAUAAUUUUUUCUCAAAAUCUCUGCAAGAAUGAAAAUGUAACAAUUCAAAGAAAUAAAAAGGAUCAAGCUGAAGAAUGUGUGAGGAAUUUCAUGAGUACAGGGGAGAAACAGGUCCUGAACAUGCACAUGUGGAGGACUAUAGUAAGCUUCAAGAGAGAACCAGAAUACCCUUGUGGACAUCCAAGCACCUUUAAGAGGAUAUGA